GUCUGUAAUUACCUGUUCCAGGUCCUGUUUCUCCUGCUGCAGGCUCUGCAGCACUUCCUGGGGGCAAAGAAAGCUCAGACCUGGCUCUAAGCUCCCUUGGGAUACAGAAAAGGCCCAGGGACACUCAACAAGGAAGUAAAGAUAAGAGUCUGAAGCUCAACGCCUGGACCAUAGGCCUCACCUCCUGAUGACGGACCAUGCUGUCGACGCGGGCCUUCUCCUUGUCCAGCUCUGUGCUAGCCCAGCGGAUCUGCUGGCUAGCCCCAUCCAGCCGCCCUGCCAGCAGCUGCACCUGCUCCUCCAGCUGCUGCACCUGUCUCUCAGCUGCCGCCCUACGCUCACCUUCCUCUUCCAGCUGCUGGGCCUUUGCCUCUGUAGGAUUGAGUGAGCAGAUACAAAAGGAAGCCCUGGGUGGGAGUCUCUAAAACACCUCUGACUGGGACUAUGGGAGGUCACAUCACAGAUCUGAAGCCCAGAUCACAACACGGGGCUCAGGACCCCAUGAGGUGGGUCUGGAAUAAAGAAGGCACUUUCUGCC